UACGUAGGGGGCAAGCGUUGUCCGGAUUUAUUGGGCGUAAAGAGCGUGUAGGCGGCUUGGCAAGUCUGCUGUGAAAACUCGAGGCUCAACCUCGAGAUGUCGGCGGAAACUGCCUGGCUAGAGUCCGGAAGAGGAGAGUGGAAUUCCUGGUGUAGCGGUGAAAUGCGCAGAUAUCAGGAAGAACACCCAUGGCGAAGGCAGCUCUCUGGGACGGUACUGACGCUGAGACGCGAAAGCGUGGGGAGCGAACAGG
rnacentral:rRNA from 1 species